rnacentral:rRNA from 1 species
UGCGUAGGCGGGGCAAUUAGCCAGUGGUGAAAUCCUGCGGCUUAACCGUAGAACUGCCAUUGAUACUGUUGCUCUUGAGUAUAGUUGAGGUGGGCGGAAUGUGUAAUGUAGCGGUGAAAUGCAUAGAGAUUACACAGAACACCAAUUGCGAAGGCAGCUCACUAAGCUAUAACUGACGCUGAGGCACGAAAGCGUGGGGAGCGAACAGGAUUAGAUACCCUGGUAGUCC